rnacentral:lncRNA from 10 species
GGGGCAGGAAUAGGCAUUAUGCCGGGAGCAGAAGGGAAUGCUCCCUGUAGUUCAGAAAACAAAACCAAACAAAACACACUCCAACACAAAAAAAUGACCUGAGGGCAGUCAGGAUCGAAAAGUUGAGAAUUUUCACAAUGUUUUGUAUCCUGUUGGACUGUGUUUCCUGAGAGAAUGAUAAUGAAGUUUUCAAUAGAGGGCUUAGAAAUACAAAAAUUGUUUCUUGAAUACAAAUAUGUUUACUAAGUUGCCUUAAAUAUAUUCAUGUAUUUAAACUUUAUUUUCUGUACCUCAAUUUGGUCACCCCAAAAUUAGGUUUAGAGUAAUUUUUUGAGAUAUGCUGUAGUGGAGUGAGGAGAAAAUUCGUUUGGUGCUGCCUAAGAGCUAUCCCAAUGCAGAGCUUUGCAAUGAGACUGGAAUUCCAUGCAGGAAGGGAUUCUCCAGCCAAACGGGGUUUAGAAUAUGCCUCCUCCUAGCUCCCAUCAUUGCUGCAAAUCUAUAGGAAUACUGAUCACACAGAGAGAAAAGAACUAACUGGUAGUGUCGCCGCAGACUAGAGAGUUUGGAUGAGAAAAGGCGGGCACUGUAGGGUGCAUAGCACCGUGGAAGGAAACACUCAGUGAUACGAUAAUGACAGAAAGAAUAGGCUUGAAGCAAGUAUAUAUGCAAACACUGAAAUUUGCAGGGGUUAGAAAUUGCCCUGAAGGAAGAGGUGGACAACUCUGCCAGACACUGGGAAGAUCAGUGCGGAACACACGGCCAGGAUCCAGCCAGUCAGAACUGACUCCCCCAUCAAUCACAUCUUUGCAGAAAAAUCUACACCAGAGCUUGCUAGAUUCCUAGUAACUCAUGAUGGUGUUAACUGUUGGGGUCUGUACUACGUUUAUCAGCUGUAACAGUCACUGCUAAGGUUUGCAGUUUCCUUUCUGUUGCCAGCGGGAUCACGAGUCCACCGGGAGAAAUGAACAACUCCAGACGCGUGGUCUUAAGAGCUGUACCACUCACCAUGAAGCUCUGUGGCUUCACUUCUGAAUCCAGGGAGGCCACGAACCCACCAGAAGGUAGAAACUGUGAACCCGUUCAAACAUCAGAAGGAACGAACUGGACACGUUGUUCUUAAGAAGUGUAACACUGAUCGUGAGGGUCUGUGGUUUCAUUCAUGAAGUCAGUGAGACGAGGAACCCACCAAUUACAGACACAGUAUGAUGAACCAAAAACCCCAACACUUCCCUGCCAUAAAACAGGAAUCAAAUGAGGCCAGUAACAAAGACAGUUUGAGUCCAGGGCACUGAGUGAAGGCACUAGAUAUGCUGGGACUCAUCAUUGCUUUGGAACAGGGACAGGAUCUGGGUACGAAGUUUCUACCGCUCUUGUGGUGGGGAGUUGGGUUGGGCAUCACUUUCAUACGGCGAGAGGAAACGGUGGUGUCAUCUAUGUUAGCACUGGCUGCAGUGGAGCUUAAAAAACAUGUUGCAAGCUCUCACAUGGGUUCAAGUCUGAAUUUCCACUGCUACGUGGUCUGAAAACUGCAAGCAGGAAUUUACAUUUAAAGCACAUGGAGUCUAUAGUAUCCCCAGGUACUUCAGAGAAGCAAAUAUCAAUACUCCCUCGAGGAGUAAGUCUUCAAACAAGGCUUCCAAGCACCCCACAGGGUUAGUGGCACCAACUUUUAACUACUGUAACUAAUAAGGAGAAGCCAAGGGUACAUAUGAAGAAGUUGUUUAUGAGCAUUUGCCAACAAAAAAAGACCUGCAAAGACGUCAGAUACUGUAAGAACAGAAUACAGAAUAUAAAAUGGGUAUUCUUAAUAUGUUUCAAUGAGUAAAGGCAGAAAUAAGGUGAAGAGUCAGGAUGAAGGGAUCACCGAAGAUGAGCAGACAAAUUUGGGCAAAACUAGAAAUGUAAACUAUAAUAAUUGAAGUAAAAAGAAAACUCAAUGGAAGGGUUAAAAAAUUGCUGGAGAUGAGAGAACAAUUAGUAAACUCAGUUAUUCAAAAAUUAUACUAUUACACAAAGAGAUCAAUACAUUAAAAAUAGAAAAGUUUAAGAGACAAGUAGAAAAUCCACCGUACAUAUAAUCAGAAUUUGAGAGGCAGAUUGUUGAAAAAAAAUGCAAGGAAUAAAUUUUUUUUUUUUUUUUUUUUUUUGAGAUGGUCUCACCCUGCUGCCCAGGCUGGAGUGCAGUGGUGUGAUCUCGGCUCACUGCAAGCUGUGCCUCCCAGGUUCAAGCGGUUCUCCUGCCUCAGCCUCCUGAGUAGCUAGGAUUACAGGCACACGCCACCACGCCCAGCUAAUUUUUGUAUUUUUAGUAGAGACAGGGUUUCACCAUAUUGUCCAGGCUGGGCUCGAUCUCCUGCCUCGGCAUCCCAAAGUGCUGGGAUUACAGGCGGGAGCCACUGCACCUGGCCAAAAUAUUUCAAGAAGUAAUGACCAGUGUUUCUGGAAUGAAUGAAAGACCCAAAUCCAUCGUGUGUCUUUCAUUCCAUUUGAUUUCUCAUUUGGUUUUUCUUUUUGCAGCUGGGAAGUUUCAGGGUUAUUGGCUCAUCAUAGUACCAAAUCAUGACAGAUCCAAAGAAAGACAAAUAAAAGCCAGUCAAUAUUAGGACAUAUUAACAGUGCAACAGCAGAACAACAUAAACAAUAAGGGAUCGUGAAAGAAGAGACACUUUGCCACCGGGCGUGGUAAAUAAGCAUAUGUAAAGAUGAUGUCAACAUCUUGUAUCACCAAGUAUUACAAAUUUUUAAAAAAGGAAAUAGCACUACACACCUAUUAAAAAGGGGAGCAGGCAGGGUGUGGUGGCUCAUGCCUGUAGUCCUAGCACUUUGGGAGGCCGAGGCCGGCAGGUCACUUGAGGUCAGGAGUUUGAGACCAGCCUGCCCAACAUGGAGAAACCCCGUCUCUACUAAAAAUACAAAAGUAUUCGGGCGUGGUGGCAGGCACCUGUAAUACCAGCUACCUGAGAGGCUGAGUCAGGAGAAUCGCUUGAACCCGGGAGGCGGAGGUUGUGGUGAGCUGAGAUUGCGCCACUGCACUGCAGCCUGGGCAACAAGAGCCAAACUCCGUCUCAAAAAAAAAAAAAAAAAAAAAAAAAAAGGGUGAGCAUCCCAAACACCAAUGCUGGCAAGAAUGUGUAGCAAUAGGAACUCUGAUUCAUUGUGCUGGGAGUGGAUGUACUCAUAAAAUGGUACUGAUACCAUGGAGGGCAGUUCGGUGGUUUCCUAUAAAACUAAACAUUCUUUUACUACAUAGUCCGGCCAUUAUGCUCCUUGGUAUUUACCCAAAUGAACACAUCAAUGUUUAUAGUAGCCUUAUUUGUAAUUGCCAAAGCUUAGAAGCAACUAAGAUGUUGUUCCUUAGGUUAAAAAAGAAAAGAAACUGUGGCACCUCCAGACAAUAGGAUAUUAUUUAGUGCUAAAAAUAAAUAAGCUACCAAGUGACAACACCACAUGGAGGAAUGUUAACUGCGUAUAAAUGACAGAAACAAAAACCAAUCCGAAAAGGUGAUGCACUGCAUGAUUCCAGUCAUGUGAUGCUUCGGAAAAGGCAAAACUAUGGAAAUGGUAAAAAGGUCAGUGGUUGCCAGAGGUUAAGGAUAAAGAGAGAUGAUUAGGUGGAGAACAGAAGAUUUUUAGGAUAGUGAAACCAUUUUGUCUGAUAAUAUAAUGGUGGAUAUGUGUGAUUAUACAUUUGUUAAAAACCAUGGAAUGUACAACCCUAAGAGAGAACCCUAAUAUAAACCAUGAAAUUUGAAUAAUAAUGAUGUAUCAUUGCAGGUCUGUAGAUUUGUCAAAUAUGCACCACUGUCGUGGGGGAUGGUAGUAGUGGGGUAGGUUGUGUGUGUAUAGGGACCAAGGGUAUAUGAGAACUCUCUGUACUUUCUGAUCAAUUUUGAUGUGAAGCUAAAACUGGUCUAAAAAAUAAAGUUUAUUAAAUUACAAAAAUCUAACAGGGUUAAAAGGAAAUGGGAAAAUUAAUUUAAAAAUGUAUAUGGGCCAGGCGCGGUGGCUCAUGCCUGUAAUCCUAGCACUUUGGGAAGCUGACACGGGCGAAUCAUGAGGUGAAGAGAUCGAGAUCAUCCUGGCCAACAUGGUGAAACCCUGUCUCUACUAAAAAUGCAAAAAUUAGCCAGGCGUGCUGCAAGGUGCCUGUAGUCCCAGCUACUCGGGAGGCUGAGGCAGGAGAAUCACUUGAACCCGGGAGGCAGAGGUUGCAGUGAGCCGAGAUCGCACCACCGCACUCCAGCCUGGGUGACAGAAUGAAACUCCAUCUUAGAAAAAAAAAAGAAAGAAAAAACAUGUAUAUGGCAGCAUAAAUAUCAAGAACAAAUGGGAGAAACUCUUCAAGUGGAAUGAGGUGGGAACAUAUCCUUCCUCAGACAUCAAGACGCAUUAUAAUCCAUAGACUAUAAGACAGUGGCACUAGCACAACAAUAGACCAACAGAGAAAAGAAAUUUGUUAGAUUGUCUGGAAAUAACACAGUGAAAGUGUGGAGGUUUGAUAAGUGGUGAAAUUAUCCUGUAUGUGAAUGGGGAUAAUAUGCGCUAGUCCAUUGAAUUAAUCGUCUCUCUCUGACUGUUUCUCCCUCUCACUUUCUUUCUGUGUGUGUGUGUGUGUGCAUACAUGAGUGUGUGUGCAUGCGUGUUUGAUGGGGACAGGAGGCAGGGAAACGCUGGGUAGAAGAAGGUGGUUCUUCAGCAAAGGCCCCACCUUCAAGCCUGGAAACUGUGGCUCUAAAUGAAAACAGUUAUCUCUGUUUUCCCGUCCAAUUGUUGCUUUAUUCAAAACCACCCUGGCCCGCCACCCUCAUGCCCCUCCCCCCCUGACCCCGCAUCCUGUACUCAUAAAACCCCCAAACCCCAGGUUCAAUGAGCAGGAGGGCGGCACAGCAGCAGAGCAGCAGAGCGGCAGAGUGGAGAAGGAGAGAAGAGAAGUGUCUGAACUCCAGGGGACAAUCAUCUUCCCACUCCAUCCCCUCUCCACCUCCCCAUCCCACUGAGAGCCACCUCCACCUCUCAAUGAAAUCCCUGCAUUCACCAUUCUUCAAGUCCAUGUGACCUGAUUCUUCCUGGAAGCUAGACAGGAAUUCAGGAUUCCUGUACCAAUUCCAUUGGGUACAGGAACCAAAAAGACUGUCACGUUGACUCUUCACUGAGCUGUUAAACACUUUAGCUUUCCCUGGGUGGCAGGGCUAAAGGACAUUGUAAUACCCCUAGCCACUGCUGGGGGGUCAGAGCCCAAAUGUGCUCACCCCAGCUCACCUGUGUGCUCUCCCUCCCUUAAAGGGUUUGAACACGCACCAGCCGAAUAAAUGAGCCACAUGCCAUCACAUGUUCCGCGAGGGGUCAGAGAACUCUCCUGUUUCAUGUUGACGGAUGUUGUAAGCAUUAAUGGUUUUAAAUGCAAAAGGAAAACUCGGAAAUGUUAAAGAUAGUAUAGAAUAAUUUCAUUAUGGCCUUUGAAUAGGAAAGUAUUUCUGAAACAGCAUGUAAGAUGUACAAGCCACAAAAACAUCUUGAUAAAUUUGACUACAUUAAAAUUAAAAACUUCUUUUAAUCGAAAGAUACAAUAAAAAAAGCAUAAGUGAUACACAUGCAGGGAAAAUAAUUUUUUUCUUUUUUUUUUUGUGAUGGAGUUUUGCUCUUGUUGCCCACGCUGGAGUACAAUGGUACGAUCUCGGCUCACCGCAACCUCCCUGUCCUGGGUUCAAGCGAUUCUCCAGCCUCAGCCUCCCGAGUAACGGGGAUUACAGGCAUGCGCCACCACACCCAGCUAAUUUUGUAUUUUUAGUAGAGACAAGGUUUCUCCAUGUUGGUCAGGCUGGUCUCGAACUCCUGACCUCAGGUGAUCCACCCGCCUUGGCCUCCCAAAGUGCUGGGAUUACAGGCAAAAGCUACCAUGCCUGGCCUAAUUUUAAAAAAUACAUGAAAUUAAUGAAGCAUUAUGAUCCAGAAUAUAUAAAAGUAUAAUAUAUCAGUAAAUCAACAAAAAUGGGGAAAAGAUGUGAAAAAAUUUCACAGUAGAGGAAAUAACCUGUUAGAAAAAUCUGUAAAAGGUACUAACAAGUACUUUACAGAACAGGAAUAUAAGUGGCCAGUAGAUAUAUAUAAAAAGAUUCUCAAUUCGUAAUAAUCAGUAAAAGGCAAUUUAAUAUUUAAUGAAAUCUCAUGAUACACCUAAUACAUAGGUAAAUAUGACCAGGAUAUAGAACAAGGAUGUCCCUGGGGCAGUUGCUAAGAGUGUGAAUUGGUGCAAUGACUUUCAAAAUCAAUUUGGCAUUAUCUUGUAAACUGAAUGUGAGUAUGCCCAAUUCUAGUAUGUGCUGUAGGAAAAAUGUCUACCCCUUUGCACAAGGAAUCAUACAAAAUAAUGUUUCUAGGAGCAUUGUUAAUAAUAGCAAAAGACAAGAACAAAACCUUGCAAGUAACCAAAUGUCUAUUGGGUCUAUUUGUGGGAAAAUGGAUAAAGAAAUUGAGGUUUAUUCAUGAAUUGGACACUAUAUAAUGGUGAAAAUGAAUAAACUUGAAUUACACAUGUCAGGGUGAUCGAAACUCAGAAAGUUAAUACAUUGUGGAAGCAAGUUGUGGAAAGAUAUGCAGCAUGAUACUGUAUUAUAAAUUCAAAGCCAAGCACACUAGGCAGUGUAUUAACAGCUGUGCAACACGUAUGUGAAUGGAACUCUUGGAGAAAACCCAGGGCCAGGGAUGAAGUAACAGAAGCGAACAGGAGCUUCAGAGAUAACAGUGACGUUCCAUGUCUUAGUGUGGGUGAAGGGGUCAAUGGUGUUUGUUUCAUGAAAAUCUAUCUCUAUCUGCUAUCUGUCUGUCUGUCUGUCUAUCUAUCUAUCUCUCUAUCUAUCUAUCUUCUAUCUAAUCUUAUCUAUCCAUCCUAUCUACAGAUGUAUAUGUUUGUGUGUAUAUAAAUAUACAUCUGUCACAAACAUUCUCUUAUGUGUAUCAAAUAUUUUCAUAAUAAAAACAUUUACAAAAUCUCCUACUCUUUCUAGUCCUGUUAUUCCAUAGUUUCCCCUUCUGUGUCUUGUUUUGUAAACUUAAUGUGUGGGCCAGGUGCAGUGGCUCACGCCUAUAUUCCC